rnacentral:tRNA from 1 species
AGGGGGAUAGCUUAAAUAGCAGAGCACGUGCUCAGCAUGCGUGAGGUCCUGGGUUCAAUCCCCAGUACCUCCU